GGUUAAGCGACUAAGCGUACACGGUGGAUGCCCUGGCAGUCAGAGGCGAUGAAGGACGUGCUAAUCUGCGAAAAGCGUCGGUAAGGUGAUAUGAACCGUUACAGCCGGCGAUGUCCGAAUGGGGAAACCCAGUGUGAUUCGUCACACUAUCGUUAACUGAAUACAUAGGUUAACGAGGCGAACCGGGGGAACUGAAACAUCUAAGUACCCCGAGGAAAAGAAAUCAACCGAGAUUCCCCCAGUAGCGGCGAGCGAACGGGGAGCAGCCCAGAGUCUGAAUCAGCUUGUGUGUUAGUGGAACGGUCUGGAAAGUCCGACGGUACAGGGUGAUAGUCCCGUACACCAAAAUGCACAGGCUGUGAACUCGAAGAGUAGGGCGGGACACGUGGUAUCCUGUCUGAAUAUGGGGGGACCAUCCUCCAAGGCUAAAUACUCCUGACUGACCGAUAGUGAACCAGUACCGUGAGGGAAAGGCGAAAAGAACCCCGGCGAGGGGAGUGAAAAAGAACCUGAAACCGUGUACGUACAAGCAGUGGGAGCACCUUCGGGUGUGACUGCGUACCUUUUGUAUAAUGGGUCAGCGACUUAUAUUCUGUAGCAAGGUUAACCGUAUAGGGGAGCCGCAGGGAAACCGAGUCUUAACUGGGCGUUAAGUUGCAGGGUAUAGACCCGAAACCCGGUGAUCUAGCCAUGGGCAGGUUGAAGGUUGGGUAACACUAACUGGAGGACCGAACCGACUAAUGUUGAAAAAUUAGCGGAUGACUUGUGGCUGGGGGUGAAAGGCCAAUCAAACCGGGAGAUAGCUGGUUCUCCCCGAAAGCUAUUUAGGUAGCGCCUCGUGAAUUCAUCUUCGGGGGUAGAGCACUGUUUCGGCUAGGGGGUCAUCCCGACUUACCAACCCGAUGCAAACUACGAAUACCGAAGAAUGUUAUCACGGGAGACACACGGCGGGUGCUAACGUCCGUCGUGAAGAGGGAAACAACCCAGACCGCCAGCUAAGGUCCCAAAGUCAUGGUUAAGUGGGAAACGAUGUGGGAAGGCACAGACAGCCAGGAUGUUGGCUUAGAAGCAGCCAUCAUUUAAAGAAAGCGUAAUAGCUCACUGGUCGAGUCGGCCUGCGCGGAAGAUGUAACGGGGCUAAACCAUGCACCGAAGCUGCGGCAGCGACACUAUGUGUUGUUGGGUAGGGGAGCGUUCUGUAAGCCUGCGAAGGUGUGCUGUGAGGCAUGCUGGAGGUAUCAGAAGUGCGAAUGCUGACAUAAGUAACGAUAAAGCGGGUGAAAAGCCCGCUCGCCGGAAGACCAAGGGUUCCUGUCCAACGUUAAUCGGGGCAGGGUGAGUCGACCCCUAAGGCGAGGCCGAAAGGCGUAGUCGAUGGGAAACAGGUUAAUAUUCCUGUACUUGGUGUUACUGCGAAGGGGGGACGGAGAAGGCUAUGUUAGCCGGGCGACGGUUGUCCCGGUUUAAGCAUGUAGGCUGGUUGUCCAGGCAAAUCCGGAUAAUCAAGGCUGAGGUGUGAUGACGAGGCACUACGGUGCUGAAGUAACAAAUGCCCUGCUUCCAGGAAAAGCCUCUAAGCAUCAGGUAACAUCAAAUCGUACCCCAAACCGACACAGGUGGUCAGGUAGAGAAUACCAAGGCGCUUGAGAGAACUCGGGUGAAGGAACUAGGCAAAAUGGUGCCGUAACUUCGGGAGAAGGCACGCUGGUGUGUAGGUGAAGUCCCUGCGGAUGGAGCUGAGACCAGUCGAAGAUACCAGCUGGCUGCAACUGUUUAUUAAAAACACAGCACUGUGCAAACACGAAAGUGGACGUAUACGGUGUGACGCCUGCCCGGUGCCGGAAGGUUAAUUGAUGGGGUUAUCCGUAAGGAGAAGCUCUUGAUCGAAGCCCCGGUAAACGGCGGCCGUAACUAUAACGGUCCUAAGGUAGCGAAAUUCCUUGUCGGGUAAGUUCCGACCUGCACGAAUGGCGUAAUGAUGGCCAGGCUGUCUCCACCCGAGACUCAGUGAAAUUGAACUCGCUGUGAAGAUGCAGUGUACCCGCGGCAAGACGGAAAGACCCCGUGAACCUUUACUAUAGCUUGACACUGAACAUUGAGCCUUGAUGUGUAGGAUAGGUGGGAGGCUUUGAAGCGUGGACGCCAGUCUGCGUGGAGCCAACCUUGAAAUACCACCCUUUAAUGUUUGAUGUUCUAACGUUGGCCCCUUACCGGGGUUGCGGACAGUGUCUGGUGGGUAGUUUGACUGGGGCGGUCUCCUCCCAAAGCGUAACGGAGGAGCACGAAGGUUAGCUAAUCCUGGUCGGACAUCAGGAGGUUAGUGCAAUGGCAUAAGCUAGCUUGACUGCGAGCGUGACGGCGCGAGCAGGUGCGAAAGCAGGUCAUAGUGAUCCGGUGGUUCUGAAUGGAAGGGCCAUCGCUCAACGGAUAAAAGGUACUCCGGGGAUAACAGGCUGAUACCGCCCAAGAGUUCAUAUCGACGGCGGUGUUUGGCACCUCGAUGUCGGCUCAUCACAUCCUGGGGCUGAAGUAGGUCCCAAGGGUAUGGCUGUUCGCCAUUUAAAGUGGUACGCGAGCUGGGUUUAGAACGUCGUGAGACAGUUCGGUCCCUAUCUGCCGUGGGCGCUGGAGAAUUGAGGGGGGCUGCUCCUAGUACGAGAGGACCGGAGUGGACGCAUCACUGGUGUUCGGGUUGUCAUGCCAAUGGCACUGCCCGGUAGCUAAAUGCGGAAGAGAUAAGUGCUGAAAGCAUCUAAGCACGAAACUUGCCCCGAGAUGAGUUCUCCCUGAGACUUUAAGUCUCCUGAAGGAACGUUGAAGACGACGACGUUGAUAGGCCGGGUGUGUAAGCGCAGCGAUGCGUUGAGCUAACCGGUACUAAUGAACCGUGAGGCUUAACCUU
rnacentral:rRNA from 1 species